rnacentral:rRNA from 1 species
AUACGGAGGAUCCGAGCGUUAUCCGGAUUUAUUGGGUUUAAAGGGUGCGCAGGCGGCCAUUUAAGUCAGCGGUUAAAUCGUGGGGCUCAACCCCAUUCUGCCGUUGAUACUGGGUGGCUUGAUUGCGGUCGAGGUUGGCGGAAUUCGUUGUGUAGCGGUGAAAUGCAUAGAUAUGACGAAGAACACCGAUUGCGUAGGCAGCUGACCAGACCGCAAAUGACGCUCAUGCACGAAAGUGCGGGGGUCGAACAGGAUUAGAUACCCUGGUAGUCCGCACAGUAAACGAUGAAUACUUGUUUUCGGCGAUAUAGUGUCGGAGGCAAAGCGAAAGCGAUAAGUAUUCCACCUGGGGAGUACGCCGGCAACGGUGAAACUCAAAGGAAUUGACGGGG